rnacentral:rRNA from 1 species
UACGUAUGGUGCAAGCGUUAUCCGGAUUUACUGGGUGUAAAGGGAGCGCAGGCGGCGCGGCAAGUCCGAUGUGAAAACCCCCGGCUCAACCGGGGGACUGCAUUGGAAACUACCGGGCUGGAGUGCCGGAGAGGUAGGCGGAAUUCCUGGUGUAGCGGUGAAAUGCGUAGAUAUCAGGAGGAACACCAGUGGCGAAGGCGGCCUACUGGACGGUGACUGACGCUGAGGCUCGAAAGCGUGGGGAGCAAAUAGG